AUUGAACGCUAGCGGCAUGCCUUACACAUGCAAGUCGAACGGCAGCACGGGGGCAACCCUGGUGGCGAGUGGCGAACGGGUGAGUAAUGCAUCGGAACGUGCCCAUCGAUGGGGGAUAACUGCGCGAAAGCGUUGCUAAUACCGCAUACGACCUACGGGUGAAAGCAGGGGACCGCAAGGCCUUGCGUCGAUGGAGCGGCCGAUGCCGGAUUAGCUAGUUGGUGAGGUAAAGGCUCACCAAGGCGACGAUCCGUAGCUGGUCUGAGAGGAUGAUCAGCCACAUUGGGACUGAGACACGGCCCAAACUCCUACGGGAGGCAGCAGUGGGGAAUCUUGGACAAUGGGCGAAAGCCUGAUCCAGCAAUGCCGCGUGUGGGAAGAAGGCCUUCGGGUUGUAAACCACUUUUGGCGGGAAAGAAAUGGUCUGUGCUAAUACCACGGAUUGAUGACGGUACCCGCAGAAUAAGCACCGGCUAACUACGUG
rnacentral:rRNA from 1 species